GACGAACGCUGGCGGCGUGCUUAACACAUGCAAGUCGAGCGGUAAGGCCCUUUCGGGGGUACGACGAGCGGCGAACGGGUGAGUAACACGUGGGUGACCUGCCCUCCAGCUCUGGGAGUAAGCCUGGGAAACCGGGGUCUAAUACCGGAUAUGACUCCAUGACGCAUGUUGUGGGGUGGGAAAGCCUUGUGCGGCUGAGGAUGGGCCCGGCGGCCUAUCAGCUUGUUGGUGGGGUGAUGGCCUACCAAGGCGACGACGGGUAGCCGGCCCUGAGAGGGCGACCGGCCGACACUGGGACUGAGACACGGCCCAGACUCCUACGGGAGGCAGCAGUGGGGAUCUUGCGCAAUGGGCGAAAGCCUGACGCAGCGACGCCGCGUGAGGG
rnacentral:rRNA from 1 species